ACGGCUCAGUAACACGUGGGUAACCUGCCUCAUAGAGGGGGAUAGCCUCCCGAAAGGGAGAUUAAUACCGCAUAACAUUAUGCUGUCGCAUGACAGUAUAAUCAAAGGAGUAAUCCACUAUGAGAUGGACCCGCGGCGCAUUAGCUAGUUGGUGAGGUAACGGCUCACCAAGGCGACGAUGCGUAGCCGACCUGAGAGGGUGAUCGGCCACAUUGGAACUGAGACACGGUCCAGACUCCUACGGGAGGCAGCAGUGGGGAAUAUUGCACAAUGGGCGAAAGCCUGAUGCAGCAACGCCGCGUGAGUGAAGAAGGCCUUCGGGUUGUAAAGCUCUGUCUUUUGGGACGAUAAUGACGGUACCAAAGGAGGAAGCCACGGCUAACUACGUGCCAGCAGCCGCGGUAAUACGUAGGUGGCAAGCGUUGUCCGGAUUUACUGGGCGUAAAGGAUGCGUAGGUGGAUAUUUAAGUGGGAUGUGAAAUACCCGGGCUCAACUUGGGUGCUGCAUUCCAAACUGGAUAUCUAGAGUGCAGGAGAGGUAAGUGGAAUUCCUAGUGUAGCGGUGAAAUGCGUAGAGAUUAGGAAGAACACCAGUGGCGAAGGCGACUUACUGGACUGUAACUGACACUGAGGCAUGAAAGCGUGGGGAGCAAACAGGAUUAGAUACCCUGGUAGUCCACGCCGUAAACGAUGGGUACUAGGUGUGGGAGGUAUCGACCCCUUCCGUGCCGCCGUUAACACAAUAAGUACCCCGCCUGGGGAGUACGGUCGCAAGAUUAAAACUCAAAGGAAUUGGCGGGGGAGCAC
rnacentral:rRNA from 1 species